ensembl:snRNA U1 U1 spliceosomal RNA
AUACUUACCUGGCAGGGGAGAUACCAUGAUCACGAAGGUGGUUUUCCCAGGGCGAGGCUUAUCCAUUGCACUCCGGAUGUGCUGACCCCUGCGAUUUCCCCAAAUGUGGGAAACUCGACUGCAUAACUUGUGGUAGUGGGGGACUGCGUUCGCGCUUUUCCCUG